AGCAGCCGCGGUAAUUCCAGCUCCAAUAGCGUAUAUUAAAGUUGUUGCAGUUAAAAAGCUCGUAGUUGAAUUUCGGGAUCAAUAUGUCGGUCGUGCCUCGGUACGUACUGGCGUAAUUGGUUUCUACCUUCUGAGGAUCCUUGAUGUCAUUAAUUUGGUGUCUUGGGGAAUCAGGACUGUUACCUUGAAAAAAUUAGAGUGUUUAAAGCAGGCAUACGCUUGAAUACAUUAGCAUGGAAUAAUGAAAUAGGACGUUCGAUUCUAUUUUGUUGGUUUCUAGGAUCGACGUAAUGAUUAAUAGGGAUAGUUGGGGGCAUUAGUAUUCAAUUGUCAGAGGUGAAAUUCUUGGAUUUAUUGAAGACUAACUACUGCGAAAGCAUUUGCCAAGGAUGUUUUCAUUAAUCAAGAACGAAAGUUAGGGGAUCGAAGACGAUCAGAUACCGUCGUAGU
rnacentral:rRNA from 1 species